GUCGUGAGAUGUUGGGUUAAGUCCCGCAACGAGCGCAACCCUUGUCAUUAGUUGCUACAUUUAGUUGGGCACUCUAAUGAGACUGCCGGUGACAAACCGGAGGAAGGUGGGGAUGACGUCAAGUCCUCAUGGCCCUUAUGGGUAGGGCUUCACACGUAAUACAAUGGCGCGUACAGAGGGCUGCUAAGCCGCGAGGUAGAGCCAAUCCCUUAAAGCGCGUCGUAGUCCGGAUUGCAGUCUGCAACUCGACUGCAUGAAGUCGGAAUCGCUAGUAAUCGCGGAUCAGCAUGUCGCGGUGAAUACGUUCCCGGGUCUUGUACACACCGCCCGUCACACCAUGGGAGUGGGUUUCACCAGAAGCCGGUCGCCUAACCGCAAGGAGGGCGCCGACCACGGUGAGAUUCAUGACUGGGGUGAAGUCGUAACAAGGUAGCCGUAUCGGAAGGUGCGGCUGGAUCACCUCCUUUCUAAGUCAAGCACCCGCAGUGCCCACCCUCUAUCGGCUGUUCCUUCGCGAAAAGUGAAGAGAGUCGACGCCUUUACACGACCGGGUCUGUAGCUCAGUUGGUUAGAGCACCGUCUUGAUAAGGCGGGGGUCGAUGGUUCGAAUCCAUCCAGACCCACCAUUCGACUCUUUACUCGCUCUUUAACAAUCUGGGAUUAGAAGGUAGUUGUUCUUGUUGUUGGCGUGCUUGAAGGGUUUGUCUGAGCGUGUUGACGGCGAGGACACUGGGUUAUGUAUUGCAUCGUGUCUCAUCGAUGUAGUUGUCGAUGGGAUGCACAAGCGUGAGAGUUUCCUAUUUCUUUGUGAUGGUGCGGGCGACUUUGGCCCGUGCCGCUUGCUGUUCAUGGCAGGCAGCAAGGUUAUAGGGUCAAGCGAAUAAGUGCAUGUGGUGGAUGCCUUGGCAAUGAUAGGCGAUGAAGGACGUGACAGCCUGCGAUAAGCUGCGGGGAGCCGGCAAAUGGGCGCUGAUCCGCAGAUUU
rnacentral:sRNA from 1 species